rnacentral:lncRNA from 1 species
GUCCGAUGAUAAGGCUGAAGCUAUUUCAGCAACUGCUGAAGGAAAGAAUGAUAAGGUUGACCAGUGUUAGAUGACCAAGACAAAAAAAGGUGCCAAUUCUUAUACUGUGUGUCUACCUCUACAUUUUUAAGCCUAAAUAGACAUAGCGAUUGUUCAUCUCUGACCGGAAUAAUUUCUAAAAAAGGAGCUCUACUACUGGAAAGGGGGAGGGAUAUUAAAGAAAUCAAGGCAGUGACUACUCUGCGCCAGCUAUGCAGAGAUUAAUUACCUAUAGGUACAACCCAGAUAUGUUCUCAUGUGUUGUUCCUAAAUUCAUCUGCUAUAAGCAUGCUUUAACUUUGUGUUAUGUCAUGUGUUUCACUAUAGGUUACCUAUCCUAUAAUAUUAGCUUCUCCUCGAUUGACAUCUCAAGAGGAAAAUGGUCAUUCAUGCAACUAGGCUCACCAUCAACAAUGCUCCGCUACAAUGCUCUUUGACCAGCUUCAAGAGAGUCUCUUAAUGCAUCUGCUACUUGCAUGAACAAAGCCAUGAC